UAGUCCACGCCGUAAACGAUGAUCACUAGAUAUUGGCUUCGGUCAGUGUCCAAGCGAAAGUGUUAAGUGAUCCACCUGGGGAGUACGCCGGCAACGGUGAAACUCAAAGGAAUUGACGGGGCCCGCACAAGCGGUGGAGCAUGUGGUUUAAUUCGAUGAUACGCGAGGAACCUUACCAGGGCUUAAAUGUAGUCUGACAGCUUUAGAGAUAGAGUUUUCUUCGGACAGAUUACAAGGUGCUGCAUGGUUGUCGUCAGCUCGUGCCGUGAGGUGUCAGGUUAAGUCCUAUAACGAGCGCAACCCCUGUUGUUAGUUGCCAGCGAGUAAUGUCGGGAACUCUAGCAAGACUGCCGGUGCAAACCGCGAGGAAGGUGGGGAUGACGUCAAAUCAUCACGGGCCCUUACGUCCUGGGGCCACACACGUGCUACAAUGGUAGGUACAGAGAGCAGCCACGUCGCGAGGCGGAGCGAAUCUAUAAAACCUAU
rnacentral:rRNA from 1 species